CACACGCGCGCUCACACCCCAGCUCAAUACCUUCUCGCCGUAUUUUACGCAGCUUCCAUUGGAUGUUGGCGUCACGGCACCAGUCUGUGGCGAUAUCUGCGGCUUUCUCGCUGACGUAAUAUUGACUGAUCCGAAUGUUUACUUUGGACACGAUCACUUAGAGGCGCACAUUGCGCUCCUUCCCUCUCCCAGCCUCCGUCCGCGCUUUCUCCCGGCGCUCAACGCAACGGAUCCUCAUCCGUUCCCAGCCGAAAGGGUCACCUUAAAGGAGUUUUUUUUCUUUUUUUUCCCUUUGCGUGUGUGUGCGUGUGUGUGUGUGCGUGCGUGUGUGUCAACCGCUCCUGGGAUUCUAUUCCGUUCGAGUCGAGCCGUGGACAGACACCACAGGUGAACGGAGCUGAACCGGCGCUGCGGUAGAGAUGAUUGAACAGUUCCAGGUUUUUUCCAUGAGCGCAAUCUGAGCCUGAUUUGACUGGAAACCGAGGUCCUUCGUGGCACUUUGUGGUAACUGAGGCGGACCGAGUUUUUUUUUUUUUUUUUUUUUGAAGACAUAAAAAAAUAUAUUUAUAUAUUUCUCCUCUGGCUUUCCUCUGGAUGAUAUGACCUUUUCUUCUGCGCAGCGUUGGCCGCUUUCCUACCAGUUUGUUGGAUCUUUGUCAUGCCUUUUUUUUUCUUCUUUUUUUUUCUUCUUUGCGGGAUUACUCACGGAGAUAUGAGCGCACUGACAAGUCCAGUUGGAUUGUAAAACAAAAUUGAGAUACGUUCUUUAAACCCCCACACCUCCCCCCCCCAAAAAAAUUCUUGCUCAGUUUUUUAAAAUAUUCUUCUUCUUGUUAUUAUUAUUAUUAUUAAUAAUAUUAUUAUUAUUUUUCCCUCCGAAGCGGGAAGUGCUGCUUUGUGGUAAUCAAUGGCUUCGGUGCCGAGAUCGGCAAGGCGCAAAGAUGCCACUCGCUGGCCGAGGAUGUCGUCAACUUUUUGGGCUGUGCUGCUCCUGACGGCGCUGCUAGUUCUCUACUGCGGCCAGCUGGCAGCGGGGACAUGUGAGAUUGUGACGUUGAACAAGGACAGCAGCCAACCACGACGGACCAUCGCCAGGCAGACGGCCCGCUGCGCCUGUAAGAAGGGCCAGAUCGCCGGAACUACAAGAGCCAGACCUGCCUGUGUGGACGCUGGGAUUGUUCGAAAAAGGCAGUGGUGUGAGAUGGUCCCGUGUUUGGAGGACGAAGGCUGCGACCUGUUAGUCAAUAAAUCUGGAUGGACUUGUACACAGCCAGGAGGCCGAGUCAAAACCACCACGGCUCUAUGACGCGACAAGAGUUCCCCUCGACAUUCUUGCACUAUGGAGAGCAAUGACGACCCUUUGACAGACAGCCAAAACCCACCAACCAACACCACCACCCACCAACACAACAGCAACUCCACCCUAACCCUGGUCGCAGAGCACCAAGGGCUUCUUUGACGCAACAAGGUGUCAUAAUACAACCAGAGGUGUCAAAAACGGGAGUGACAGACAAAGGGAGUUUGCGCUCCUGAGGGGUUUCGGACAAACUCACUAUGAAAACACUUCCCACCUCCUGUGACUCACGCCUGCGGGUCUCCGACCGCUCCCUCACGCCGUCUGUCACCGGGUCAGCGCCUUCCUCCUCGUCAAUGCAUCUGCCUGUUCGAUGAAAAACUUUUAUUACACCGCAGAGGACCGGACACCUUAAAAUGCUUUUUUCGUUUCUUUUUUUUUUGGUCAUUGGAAGUCCCAAUUUGUAAGGAGCUGCUCGCUGCAUUUUCAAAACAAAAGAAAAACAACGACAAAAAAACAAAAACAAAAGGGAUUCCCCCACCACCAAACACCAUCGCCACCUCGGGAGUUUCCACAGCACAGCUGGGAUCAUUACAGACCGAACCCUGUUGCUUCAGACCACUCGAUGAGGCCGUAAAAACCAAACUGUGCGCUCUCUGCUGUGAAUAGGCCUUCUGCUGGAGUCAAACUCCUUUAUUUUUAUAGACCAAAGAGCAAAACGACAACAAAUAUGACCGUUCGAACAAGAGGUGGCGAAAGAAACGUAUUCCUCUUGGGAGGGAGGGGUUGCUACAAAAUCUCUCUACGCGAACAAUCGAAUCGAUGGAGUCCUUUUAAAACCUUCUGGACUUUUUUCUUUUUCUUCAGACUGAAGCCCACAACUUGUAUUUUGGAACUGGAACUAUAGGUACUGCAUACGUAUAACUAUGUAUCAACAACAACAAAAAAGAAAGAAAGAAAAAAAAAAUCUAAUUUGUGAUUUUUCAGUAGCUAUGGUUUUCGGACAGAAUCGUGUCGAAGGAAAUGCUCCACGUCUACAGGAGGGUACGGACGGAUGCGGUCGAGUCGGAACGGGAAGAGCAAAGAAUUGCCAUUAAAUGUAUUUUGAAAGGCCCUUAAAAAGUUAUAUAUUUAACAAUUUUAUAUGUUGUACCUUUGUAGAGAAGCUUAUUGGACUUAAAUGUGGUCACAAUAUGGCAGUUUAGUAGAACGUGAACAAACGCUGUUCUCAUUACUGCUGGCUCGUAGUCUAUGGUUUUUCUGUUCACACCUCGGUAGCUGCUUUCUUUUCAUGGUCAUCCACAAGUCACAGUCUUAUUAGAACCAUUAACAACGAGGAAAAAAAAAAACAAAAAGAAAAAAAAACAGGAGAGCGACACAAUUUCUUGAGGACUGAUGUGCAGCCAACAGAACAUUGUAAAUCUAUGGUAGUGAGUGGACGCCAUUGAAAUCUGCUAAUUUGCUAUGAUAUUGUAUUGUACACGAUGUGGAAUACUGAUUCAUUUCCCCCUCAACGGGUUUUGAUCUCUUAAUUUAUUUUGGUGCUUGUGUUCGUUCGCACAAAUCCAGCCUCUCUCCGUUGGCAAUCCGGACAAUGAAGGAAGCAGAGAGGAGCGAAAGAAAGCACCGCAAACAUAGUCAUAUAAAUACAUUUUUUAUCAUGGAAUAUUUUAAGAAUAAAUUAAAUACAUGGAAAACAAAAAGAAA